AUUGAACGCUGGCGGCAGGCCUAACACAUGCAAGUCGAACGAGGGGCGGACGGGUGAGUAAUGUCUGGGAAACUGCCUGAUGGAGGGGGAUAACUACUGGAAACGGUAGCUAAUACCGCAUACCAUCGGAGGCGCCCAGAUGGGAUUAGCGAGUAGGUGGGGUAAAGGCUCACCAAGGCGACGAUCCCUAGCUGGUCUGAGAGGAUGACCCGCCACCCUGGAACUGAGACACGGUCCAGACGCCUACGGGAGGCAGCAGUGUGGAAUAGUUCACAAUGGGCUCAAGCCUGAUGCAGCCAUGCCGCGUGUAUGAAGAAGGCCUUCGGGUUGUAAAGUACUUUCAGCGGGGAGGCGUUACCCACAGAAGAAGCACCGGCUAACUCCGUGCCAGCAGCCGCGGUAAUUC
rnacentral:rRNA from 1 species